AGCAGCCGCGGUAAUUCCAGCUCCAAUAGCGUAUAUUAAAGUUGUUGCAGUUAAAAAGCUCGUAGUUGAAUUUCGGGAUCAGUACGCUGGUCAUGCCUUUGGUAUGCACUGGUGUCACUGGUUUCUCCCUUCUGAAGAACCGUGAUGUCAUUAAUUUGGUGUCGCGGGGAAUCAGGACUGUUACUUUGAAAAAUUAGAGUGUUUAAAGCAGGCUCACGCUUGAAUACAUUAGCAUGGAAUAAUGAAAUAGGACGUUUGACCCUAUUUUGUUGGUUUCUAGGAUCGACGUAAUGAUUAAUAGGGAUAGUUGGGGGCAUUAGUAUUCAAUUGUCAGAGGUGAAAUUCUUGGAUUUAUUGAAGACUAACUACUGCGAAAGCAUUUGCCAAGGAUGUUUUCAUUAAUCAAGACGAAAGUUAGGGGAUCGAAGACGAUCAGAUACCGUCGUAGUC
rnacentral:rRNA from 1 species